AACUACUUCAGUGGUCAUCCGAAAACAUUAAAACGAGAUUGGCAUGGCCCCUGCGCAGGUAUGACACGCAUCAAUCAAGAGGUAUUGUACGUAACU
rnacentral:snRNA from 1 species